CUGUCGCUUCCUUUCAAAAGCCCCCGCUAUUGCUACUUCCACCAUUUGAUGUGAUCGACAGGAGGAGAGAUAGCAACACAGCAGUGUUCAUUAAAUUUAACCGGUAGCUAACCUAUUGGACUCAGGGUUGGCAAAAAAUGCCACCGAAAAAGCUGCCUGACAUCCGGAGCUUUUUCACCAAACAGCAGCAACGUGGAACAAAUGUAAUUCAGAUCGCUUCCUCAGUGGAAGAUGCUGCGGGUUUUCAGGUAAAAUGCAAACAGUGUUGCGAAAAUAUUCUUGAUGAGAUGUGUUAGAUAAAGGAAUAAAGGACAUUUUAAGGUUCUAUUGUUGUAUAUGUGUCAUUCAGCAGGCCACAAGCACGCUAACCGAUUCAGGGAUAGCAGUGGACUCAGACUUGCAGGUGAGAGGGACUUGUGGAAAUAUUAAGACCUAAUUUUACUCAGGAGAGACUUAAAGUAGUAAAAGAAUAGAGAAUAGUGUAUAAAUAAGGGAAUACCUUAUUUAAAAUAUAACUGAACCGUUGGAAAAAAAACUCAAACCACUUUUUUCCCGCCCUGUUAUGUCAGCUACACUACAUUCAGUAUCGUUACCAUAGAAACAGACAACAGCGCCAAUAUAUCAGAAUUAUACUAAAAGACACGCAAAUAAUUUCCCACAUAAAAAACAGGACUUUCAGUCCAUUACAGUUUUCUGUUUUUAGAGGGUUGUUUAUUUUGCGUUUAUUAAGUGAUGGCUGUGGUAUAUUAGCUUUCACUGCUAUAAGCUUUAGCAGCAGUGAUUGAUUAAUUUAAACACCUGCUCUACUGAGCGUCUAUCGGAGUUGGUGUUUAGGUUGAACAUAAAGAACACCUUUUAUUUGAAGCUUCUUGUACUGUUUUAAUCCCGGCUUCACCUAAUUAAAACUUUUUCCUGACCUUGUUAUCUAGUUGUCAUAGUGUUGACAUUCAGUAGCAACAACUGCGCCCCUUUUUCAUUUAUAUG